GGGAAAUGUAGUAAAAAGGAGUCUUGUGGUCCAGGCAGGAAGUGACGUAGCAGGCAAAUUCAUAUAUAAGCAGGGACAAACAGGAAGUUCCCCUCCACUCUUCCUCCCCUCUCUCUGUGGAGUCGCCAUGUAACCACCAGGAAGACAGGAUGCAAGGCCUAUAUCCUCCAUAAGAUAAGUCUUAUGAUUAUGGUUGAUAAUUAAGACUGAGCUAGCAGAUGAGAAAUCCAAGUCAUUAGCCAAGCAGCAUUUUUACCUAAUAGAAGUCUCUGUGUGUUACUUGGGACCUUAACUUGGCGGAGGGCAGAACUCUCUCGGCCUGGCGGGAAGUGCCCACAUGGCUGCAGGGCUCAGGUGACUUGGGGGGGGAGACUUAUCACAACAGUGCAUGCCUUUAAUCCCAGCACUGGGGAUACAGAAACAGGCCGAUCUCUGUGAGUUCAAGGCCAGCCUGGUCUACAAUGCCAGUUCCAGGACAAUUAGGGCUGUAACACAGAGAAAACCUGUCUUGAAAAACCCAAAGAAAACAAAACAAAGUCCCUGUUGUCACAGACCACUCUCUUGCUCUCUCACCCUGCUGUCUGUCUCUGUCUCUCUCUGGCCCCCACUCUGAGAUGGCCUCCUGCUCCCAAUAAAUCCCUUGCUUGAGAUCUUUGUGUGGUGUUGUUUCUGCACCAUCCCUUAGCCCAGACGCACCAAGUUACUCUGUCACAUGAACCCUAACAGGGACUUCCCUUGAUCCUGGAACUGUGAACUGGGUCUUUGUUCCCGUUUUGGCAGGUGUUGGGACUUAUGUGCUGGGUCUGAUGGUACCUCCAACAUGUCAUCAGUUUGCUAUAAGUGUUGCAGUUCUGAAGAAAAAAGGCUUCCCCAACAGAUGUGUUACAGCUCUGCUUCAGGGGACAGUUUCCCCAGUGCAAGUGUUAGACUCUGAAGGGGAAAGUAAUCUGGCAGUCGGGAGCCAAGAAACACAAAAUCAUACCACACAGCCACCCUUCCCAAAGAGAUUUAUUGGGAGGGGAAAAAAUAGGAGGGUGUCUGCCUCUGCUCGGGCAAGAAGCAGCAGAGAAGUGAGCACAAGACAGGGUUUAUGUAGGAUUGGGGGUGUGUGCUUUCCAGGGUGACCUGGGGUUGGUGGGAUUUUUGUGGCCUGAUCUUAGAACUGAGAGGCCAGAACUGCUGUUCCCUGCUUAGUACAAAGGAUGGUUGGAGGAGCCUGACUCCUUGACCUGUGUAUGUCUAAACCCGGAAAAGGAAUUCACCCCCAGGCUAUGACAGUAUCCAAAUGCCAGCUUUGUUCUUGGAAAAGCAGAUGAUUGACUGCCUGAUGGCCAGCACACCUGGCCAGGAGAUGAGACAGGGCUAUAGAAAUUCCCCAAUCCCUUCCCAAGAGCAAUGACUUACUUGGUAGUUUUUCCCUUUAUAACCCUACAACUGAGGCACAGGGCCUUCUCCCACACUGUCACACCAGCUUGCUGGAUGAGGUCCCUGCCGAGGGAGGCUUGUAUUCAAUAAAAAAACAAAAAACAAAAAAACUGUGCGAUUGGAUCCAUGAGUCAGCUCCUUGGUGUGAAGGGACCAGACCCUCACCCAGCCCCCUGCUUUAGCAGCCAAUACAGGCUGCAGAAAAGACCCAGCAAGGUGUAGGCCUCUGACUCAGCACCUGUGCUGAACCCCCCCUUCCCUCCCAUUUCAGGACCUUCCAAUCACUAGGAACCCAGAUACCCUUCAUGUAGCAAUGGACCAACCAGAAGUUAGCUCUGAAAUGGGGAUUGUAGCAACUGCCCAGGGAUGGCCUUUAGGCAUAGCAACCAUUUCUGCAGUUGCAGCUGGCCAAUCAACACGGGACAGGUUGCCCAAACUCGGAGGUGCACCAAUCCUGAGACUGUUGCUAUGCAACUAGCAGACCUCCAGACACUCCCCUUGACCUAGCCCAAUAAAUUCCCUGCCCCACUGCUGCUCAAGGUCCUUCUUGCUCCACCAGCUGUGUUGGAUGGAGAGAGGACAGAGUUAAUACAGUUAUCUCAUUAAUUAAUUAAUCAAAGACUCUGCUUUUGCAUCGGAUCAGGUGUCUUGGUGAUUUGGGGGUUUGGAGUUUGGGCACAGGCGGUCUUUUGGGGGGGUCUUGUGGACUGGGCAUAAUGACAGCAAGCUUAGGGAUUAGUGGGAUUCUGUGCUCAGCCUCUGUGGCAAGCUCAGGAUGGGAGUGGUGGGAUUUCAUGCUCAGGGAUUUGUGGGAUUGUUUCUUGGCCCUGGUCUUGGUAUUAGGAAUAUGGACUAGCAGGAACCUUGGCGGAUCCCACAGCAGGUGAGAGAUGGUAGUGGGUGACAGACGGCGGGCAGAUGAGAAAGAGACCUGCAGACAUAACCUACACAGAAAGUUUUCUUGGGGUUGGUAAGAGAGUAAGGGAAGCAAAGAGAGAAGAGGUACAGAGACAGUGGCAGAGACAGAGGGGACAGACGGAGCUGCCUCCUCAGAGAGAGGGCACAAGAAUGAGAGUGGGGAGAGUUUGCCUCUUCAAGGACCAGGGCAGCCUGCUGGCCCAGAGGGAUGGCAAGGUCACAAGGGGUGGGGCCAGAUCUGUCUGGGUUACAGUGUUCCUCUCUUUCUUAUUAAAAGGUGAGAGGUAAGAGACAGAGUCAGAGUUUAUGGCACAGAUUAAUCACAGGAGUUACAGACAAAGAGAGGCACGAUGGAGAAGACUGAUACAUACCAAGUGUGGGUACGGGCUUCUCAAUCGAGAGUCACAUUUACAAGUUUUGUUGUGCCCAAAUUCUGAACACCAAAAUCACCAAGAGGUCCAUUUCGAUGCAAAAGCAAAGAGUCACUUAUUGCAGUUGUAUAAUGAGCUAACCCCAUUAGCUGGGGCCUUUCAUUCAUCCACCAUGGCAGAUGGCUGGGGAAAGACCCUGAGAAACCAAGAGACAGGGUAUUGGGACUAAAACACCAGGCUGACCCCGCCCCCUGACAAUGGGUGGGGCACGUGUUAUUCUUUUGCUUAAAUUAGAAAUUUAAGAGAGAUGGACAUGGAACACGAACUAUAGAGCGCACAUUAACAGGUUUAUUAUAGGGUGGGACAGGGAGAGAAAUGAAAGAAGAGAGAGUAAGAGAGAAGAGAGAGGUUUAAAUGGGGGAUCUCACGAAUUCCCACUGAGUCCCUAUACAGCCCCACAAUGAGUGAUGUAGCCAUGACGUGGCCAUGCCACACAGGGCCCUUAAGCUGCCUAGGUAUCAGCCUGAACCUUUCACUCCCACCUUUACUUAUUAUUAAAAAGGUGGGGUGUUAGACGUGGCAGGUUAGGAAAUAAGGACGUUGAGUUCUCAUAACUACUUCCUGCUGAGAUGGGGGGUGUUGACCAUCUUUGGGGAACCUGAGAAAGCUGGGGUGCUGCCACGUCCUGGGGUAGCUGGUUGUUUCAGCGCGGUCCAGGCUGUAUGGAACUCUGGCACCUCUUAGACCUGGCAAGAUGUUAGAAGAGCAGAGGACAAGGUUAAGUUUAGGAAAAAUGUUUUCUUAGGUCCUGAUACUUAAGGGGAGGAUUGUAAGAUGAAGGAGGGGUUCCUGAGGAGUCCCAAGAUGAGGGACGGGAAUCUGGGACCAGGGAAAGGUUGAAUAAUAUUUAUUUGGAGUGAAUCUGACCUGUUUGAAUCUAAUUCAGCUCCAUGGAACUUACAAAAAUCCUUAAGAGUUUGUGGAAACAUAAAUUUUAGACUCAUUAGCAGCAUAUUCUUGUUAGAAGCAACUUGGCUGAAAGCAUUAACAUUUUUAAAUUGACAUAUUUUUUAGGACAAUGAAAAGCAUCUUAAUCUUGACGUUGUAGUUAUGAUCGUAUAGUGGUAUUGUAGAACUUUAAGCUGGCCAGACUACCAGUCAUCCAAAGCAUCAGAGUUCUUGAGAAGGGUAAGAUUUUACCUGAGUUAAUGAUUAAGGGAGAACAGAAACUUGCCAGCAGGCUGCAUGGACAGGCACCCCCAAGGUCCUCUAACCAUGGCUGUGGGCUGCAGGACACCUGCCUUCUGGUGUUAGCAUGGGACCUGUGGAUUAGGGACUGUAGGAAGGCUCUCCUACCAUUGACCUAAGCAACAUGGGGAAAGUCGAUUCCACUGUCCUCUUGUCCAAGGUCCAAAGAGUCCUUUGCAGCAGUUGAGGCAAAGGGCAGGGUUGUUCAGUGGCCAGCGUUGUCACUUUUGUGGCUGGAAUUUCUUCAGUGCCCACCAGUCUUCUUGGAGGAAAUGAGGUGGGGCCAGCAGUUGGCCUAUCUCUCUGUUAUGAAAAGCUUUUUAAUAAAACAUUUUAAAUGCCAUGUUCUCUAGAUCUCUGAGCAUUUGAGGGCUGUCUGUCUGAUUAGUAUCUCAGCAGUCAAAAUUUUGCCUUUAGUUAGAGAAAAAUCCCUUUUUGUAAUAAAAAGGUGUACCUUUGUAAACGGUUUACAGGAUAGACUGAGUGGUAUAAAUAUUUUGUUAAUUUGAAAUAGACCAUUAUGACUUUUAAAUGUUCAUCAUCAUUUAAAGAUACAUAACAGUUUAGAAUAUGAGACUUAGCACAGUUAAAUUUAAGUUGCAUAUCGAAUUACCUAAGUAUAAGGCUAAAUUUAAAUCACAUGUACAGAGAAAAGCAGACACAUCAGGAGAUUUAAUGAGACAGACUGGAAACUGUCAGUAACAAGAAGACAGGUCUGCAGCAGGAAAAAACAGGGGGCCCUGGAAAGGCAGAGUAUCCUGUAAACAAGCCAUGGGCAACAGGGCCAGUGAAAGAAGAAAUCAGAGGCAAAAAAGAUCUGGCAGCCAGGCCAGGUUUGCUGACAUAGGCGGCUGGAGUGGGUGGGCGUGCCUACAGCUAGGUCACGUGGUCAAUAUGGCAGGCCCGAGCUAGGCCACAUGGCAAAGAUGGCCUGAACCUUUCAGGUUUAAAGACAAAGGGGAGAGCAUAGGCAGAGGCAGAGACCUGGAACCAUGUGAGGAGACAGGGAACCAGAUGUAGCAGCCGGGGGGGGGGGGGGGGAGUUAAAAAAAGACAGCAGGGUAAGCCAAAUGGUUGGAAGGGCAGCUCAACCGUCUGGGCUGGAGAAGUUUGGGGUGUGGGUGUGGCAUGCAAGCCAAUAGGACCCCUGUAGGGGCUAAGGGGUGCUGAUAUGUUGGGCAGGCAUCUCAGCCAUUUGUCCUCAGGUCUGUGACUAACAGUCUUCCUUUGCUGUUUGAGUUGUCUUUAAGGAACACUUAUAACUGCAGAUGAUUGUCUUUACCAGUGGUGUUGAAAUUUCUGGACACUCAGCAGGGAAGGCAACCGAAAGGCUUCUUCCUGUUCCCUUUCAUUUCCUGCCUCGCCUUGGGAAGCCCUCUGUGUUGUGGUCCCAGGACGGGUUGUUCCAGGAAGUUGUGGCUGGGAAGGGUAGCUCAAGAAACCAUUACUUACUAACAGGUUCUCACUGAGGCUGCUGCCUCCUUCCUGUUCCUCUUUCUCAAAGGCAGGGCUGACAGUGCAGAGCUCCAGUAGGGUCUGAGGGACUUUGGUUUCGAUUCCUGGCCCUGCCUUGGGAAUAUUAACAGGGAAAGAAGAAAUGAAACUAUGCGUGUGAGGUGCUGGGCACCCUGCCCGGUCCCUGUAGGAGGGGCCAUUUCAUGCUGUACACACGGCCUUUGCUCAACCCACACCCGUCAAGUUCUUUGUCUCCUGAACUCUGUGCUGUUAGAACACCAAGUGUGUGUUGUCAGUUCCUGCCACCCUUUGCAGGCACCACCUCUACCAACACACUGAUUGCCACAGUGCAGAGACUCUGGGUCACUUUCACUCUUUCUGGGAGGAAGGGAGCCAGAGCAGUUGACUUCAGGUGUGUGGUGCAGAAACCCAUUCAGUGUGCUUUCUUCUAGAAACCAGGACCACCAGCCCAGGAUGGCCCCACCCACCAUGGGCCUGGUCUUCCACCAUCAAUCACUAAUUAAGAAAAUGCUCUGCAGCUGGAUCUCUUGGAGGCAUUCCCUUCUCUCAGAUGACUUCAGAUUGUGUCAAAUAGACAUAAAAGUGUCCAGCACAGUGUUAAGUUUGUAAACCUCCAUACAGACAUUCAUGGUCUAGUAGAAACUGAUGAUAUAAAGAAGGUAUUGAUUUUUGUUUUUCCCUUUUUUCAUAUUUAUUGCAUGUGUAAAUGUGUCUAUGUAUAUACCUAUAUGUGUGUGAGUAACUCUACCAGUUGAGCUGUCUCACUGAGCCCAGGUUUUUCUUUUUCUUUUUAUGUGUAUGAGUGUUUCGCCUCCAUGUAUAUCUGUGCAUCACAUGUGUACAGUGUUAGGUUUCUGCUUAAAUUAAAAAGAAAGGAGAGGCACAAGAUGAGACAUGAGACUAAGAGAAUGCAUUAACCAGUUUAUUAUAGGCCUGGCAGAGUAGACAGAGUAAGAGAGAAGACAAACAGAGUUAAUGGCUGACGGCCAUGGCCAGUUUCGAGAGAAAGAGGGGCAGAGAGAGAGCGAAGAAGAGGCACAGAAGCAGGGACAUUGGAACUUUUAAAGGGAAGACUGCACAAGCGCAUUGAGGUUCCACGCAUGCGCGGAGUCCUCACGAAUGCUGUAAUGCAUGACUGGUGAUAUAGUGAAGGGACCAGUUCCCCAUUUCAGCAGCUGUAACAGCCGAACACGUGCUUGUCUGACCUUGUCUUAGUCAGUAAGGUCAGAUGCCUGCCUCAUGGCAAGGAACCAAUCAUAAGUUAGCUGGUGGCGCUAUGCUUUACGGCUCUGGGUGUGCUUUGCGGACAAGCACACAGCAAUGAUGCAGAGCAUAGCAACCACCCUGGGAGGGCCUAUGGGCCAUAACAACCAGUUGACCAAUCAACACAGGGCAAGCCCUCCAAGCCUGGAGGCACACCAAUCCUGAACCUGUGUGUACCCCUAGACACUCCCCUUACGCUGCCCUAUAAGAUCUCUAUGCAGAGCUUCGAGCUGUCUUUCCUAGCCAUCCUCCAUGGUGGGUGGGUGGAAGACCCGAGCUAACAUGGGGUUUCUGGGGGACCAAAGUAUUUCCGCUAUGGAAUAUUUUGAGAUUCAGCCUUGUGUCUCACUAAACAUGGAGCACAGGAAAGCUCCGGCCCACUAUUGGAUUGUUAAUGUCAAUAAAGCUACCAAUGUUUACCAUGGCCUGAGGGUAAUAUGCCUCUUAUUUGCAUCUGUAUGUGCCUAAGCAUCUGAAUAGGCCCUCACCUGGGCGGAGGAGAGAGGGGUGUGAAUAACUUGUGAAUAUAGAAGGUUAGGAAGAGAGGCGAGAGGUGAGAGCAGCACGGGAACAAAGAAAGAGGAUGAUUCCCUCGUGGUAUUGGCAGGAUGGUUAAGAAACACCAGAAAAGAUGGCUAAUAAAGAAAUGACUCUAGUUCCACAACAUGGAACUGAGAGCUCUCUGAAGAUGGUAAGAUGCCUGUGUUUGGUCUUUAUCGCCGUUGGGUUGCUCGGAGCUUCCAGGUCCACACCCCCCCACUCAGGUAGAACCUCAUGGACUAAGGCUGAGACAUCGUGGGCCAUGACAGAGGUGAGCUCAUUAAACAACAAUAAAGCCUCGUGCAGUUUGCAUCAAGCUUUUACCGCCUGGUAAUUGGGGUGACCGAGGUCCUGGGCUGAGAUCCUGGAGGCCUGAGCUUUCCGGGGGUCUUACAAUAGCACGUCCCUGUGUGGGGACCACACUUCCUCUAAUAAGGCCACUUCCAUGCCUAAUAGUGCCACUCCUUUUGGGGGGCAUUUUCUUUCAAACCAUCACAAGCAGCCAGUGCUCUUAACUGCUGAGGUUUUCACACUGCCUCAGCCUCACAAGUGGGGGGGGUAAUUUAAGGGUUAGUCUUCAGGUUUGUUUGUUUUCCCCAUUUUCCUUUGAGUCUGAAACUCGUGACAUGCACAGGCUGGUAAUGAUACUCCUGCUGUAGACUCUUGUGUGCCGUGAUUAUAAGCACGAACCGCACACCCGCUUUGGUUGUAUGUUUUGACUGUGGUACGGCACUGUUUAUCAGGCAAGGUGAGGCUAUUUCCUCAUACUUUGGCGAAUUGCUUUGCAUCUCCCAGUGUGAGUCACAAAACUUACAAGGUUACACUGAGAGACUUUAGUGACCCAACUCUACAAAUGCUUUUCCUUUAAGUAUAUUCCCUUGAGCACAAUUCCCAUGUAAUUUCCAACAGAUAUUUGUUUUAAAAUAUAAUUUUCAGCCCUUAUUUAAGCAGACUAGGUCCUAUGAGCACCUCAUGCUAUGAUGAGACCAAGGACAUAAAUUGCUUUUCUACUGUACAAAGAGUAAAAUGCUACGAGAGGGCUAAGAUGGCUCAGUGGGUAAAAGUGCUUGCUGCCACGCCUGACAUCCAGAGUUCAAUACCAAGAACCUACAUGAUAAAGGGGACUUCCAUAAGUGACCUCUAACCUACAGACAGACAGACACAGACACACACACAGACACACAGACACACAGACACACACACACACACACAUACACACACACACACUUACUCAGAAUUAAAACUAAUAAGAAAAUAAAACCUCACUUCAAAAACAGGACACACACACAGAGAAGAGCAGUAGUUAUCAAAUUCAGAACUCCCAGUGUACAGUAGGCACAGGCUCCAAGCUGUCUAGGAGGACUGCGUGCCUCACAAGGCCUGGAGAUAGAACACACAGUGCUCUUGCCUAAAAAGUGUCACCAAGCAGGCAGGUGAGGAAAGCACAUGGCACUCACUGGCAGAGUUAGACGUGGCUCCCAGCCAGGAUGUAAGUAGAGUAGCUGGCAGAAGACAACCAGGGUUGGGAGAGUGAGAUCCGAUGCCACCAAGCCAAAAGGGACAGCUGUGUCAGUGGAACCGUAAGGAGAUCUGAGGGAGGAGAAAGCAAAGGGAAGAGCCCAGAGAGUCAGGGGUCCUGACUGCUCCAAGCCGCCAGUGAGACUUGAGUACCGGCGGCGGCGGUGGCACUAACUAGGGUCACAACCAUUGGAGUCUGAAAACCACACACUUCUUAUGCAGUUGGACGUGCUCCCUCCGAUGGGCUAGUGUUGCUGUUGAGAGUGGGUUUCAUGUGCAAGCUGGCCUUGAAUUUGCUAUGUAACCAAGAAUGAAGACCCUCUGGUUCUCAUGCUUCCCCUCAUGAGUGCUCCAAUUACAUCGUAAUCUACCAACACAGACAGCUGUAUCCCCAACCCUGGGCUACUAUUGUUUUCAUCUUUGUGUUUUGUUUUUAUAUCCCUACCAAAGCCCUGCCCCCUCCCUCUAUCCACUCUUUCUUUUCUGUGUCUCUUCAGAUACAUAUGGGACUCCCCUGGGUCCCAGCCAGCCAUGGCAUAUCAAGUUGCAGUGAGACUAGGCUCCCCCUCUUCUGUUAAGGCUGGGUGAGGCAAUCCAGUAGGAGGAAAGGGUUCCAAAAGCAGGCAAGAAUCAGAGACAGCCCUGCUCCCACUGUUAGGAGUCCCACAAGAGCACCAAGUUACACAGCUGUAACAUAUAUGCAGAAGGCCUAGGUCACUGUUUUUUUGUUAAGUUUCAAACUGCAAUACCAAAGUAAGUGCUUUAAUGGCCACAUGUGUGAAAUGUGAAAAGUAUACUUUUGAUAACCAUUAAAAAACCAUUUUUAACCCUGCUAAAUUGUGUGUGUGUGUGUGUGUGUGUGUGUGUGUGUGUGUGUGUGUGUGUG
rnacentral:lncRNA from 1 species